AAUGGACGCAAGUCUGAACCAGCCAUGCCGCGUGAAGGAUGAAGGUCCUCUGGAUUGUAAACUUCUUUUAUUUGGGAAGAAACCCAAGAUUUCUAUUUUGGUUGACGGUACCAGAUGAAUAAGCACCGGCUAACUCCGUGCCAGCAGCCGCGGUAAUACGGAGGGUGCAAGCGUUAUCCGGAUUCACUGGGUUUAAAGGGUGCGUAGGCGGGCAGGUAAGUCCGUGGUGAAAUCUCCAAGCUUAACUUGGAAACUGCCGUGGAUACUAUUUGUCUUGAAUAUAGUGGAGGUGAGCGGAAUAUGUCAUGUAGCGGUGAAAUGCUUAGAUAUGACAUAGAACACCCAUUGCGAAGGCAGCUCGCUACACUAUUAUUGACGCUGAGGCACGAAAGCGUGGGGAUCAAACAGGAUUAGAUACCCUGGUAGUCCACGCCCUAAACGAUGAUUACUCGACAUCAGCGAUACACUGUUGGUGUCUGAGCGAAAGCAUUAAGUAAUCCACCUGGGGAAGUAC
rnacentral:rRNA from 1 species